UUGCUGGCUCCAAGGUCGCCGGGAGCCCCCCGUGCUCAGGUGACCACCUGGGGACGAUGCAGUUUCACGGUGUGGGGACCCACUUUGAAGGCAACCUGCAGCAGUGGUUGGGCUCCACCACCUUAUAGCUGCGCUCUGAAGAGCUUUCUAGGGUGAAAACAUCUUGAUAUUUCCUAGUUAAGGAGCCCUGACACAAGUGAAAUGACCAGACAUGUGAAUAGGAAGCAUGGUGAUUAAGUACCUGAGAGAUGAAGAAUGCAAAGGAAAAGGCAUUCUGCAGCCAGAAAAAAUGAACUGUGUGAUUUCCCUCCGCACCUGGGGGAGCAGGGAAGGGCUGCACCUCCCCGAACUCCAGCCAACUCAGGCACGCUGUGCACGAAAACUGCAGCUAACUGAAUUCCAAGCUGGGAAAAACCUUCUGUAAAUGAGAGGAGAAAUUGUUCCAUGAGCUCUGCAUAUGCGCUCACGAGCUCCAGGCUGGGGGUGGUGGGGAGGAGGAGGAGAGCUCCCAGUCCUCCCCGCUGGCCGCUGCUGGCUGCACCCACCCAGCCGUGCAGCAGGACGGAGCUCCUUCCCCUGGAGACAGCAGGGGCUCUCCAGGACAAUGGGUUAUGCGACCCCCCCCCGUGUGCCACCCCAUGGCCCCUACACAGCAUCAUGGUGUUUCUAUGGCCACUGUCCCUGCUGUGGCCCUGGCAGAGCCUUGCCACCCACAGCUCCUCACACCCCUGCUGCCUUCAGCUUCUUUGUGACUACACAGGAAACACUUGCUCCCCCGUUCGUGUGCUGAGAAGGGGAGGCAAGAAGUUCAUACUCAAUAUCCUCACAUUCAUUAUUUGCCUGAUAAAACUUAUUGUUUGCAUAAUUAAUGUUUGAGACAAAAUAUCUUAUAAAACACAGUCCGCUGAACACCGUAAAAUGGACCAGUUUUCAUAGCACUUAAAAGCUAUGGCACGAGGCAAAUCCCACCUAGAAGAAGGGCGUGUGGCUGGGCCGCUUGUGUCACCCCACGGCUCUGAGAGGCCAUGCGAUCCCACACUGUCUGGGCGAGAUUUGUAACAGGAAGGGGGGAAGACAA